rfam:Euryarchaeota archaeon 55_53 PW_scaffold_92, whole genome shotgun sequence.
GCCGCCAUAACUCAGUUGGUAGAGUGUCUGGCUGUUAACCAGAUUGUCACAGGUUCGAGUCCUGUUGGCGGCG